AAAUAAACACUAAAAAGGCUUUAGGAAAGGAAUAGAAAGUCAGGAGGUCAGUUUAGUUCCCUUCAUUCUACUAAGCAACCUGAAGGGAAACAUAUGUAGCCAGUGAUGCCUUCCAGAGUUUUGAAAGGCAGAAAAAUAUAACUUGAAAAGCUAACAGUGGAAACUCUUAGCUAAUAAUUUCACUUUAUUCUGAAGCUAAAGUCUUCAGACUUUUAGCUAACUGUCUUGCUAUAUGUAGCACUAAUAUAUCUCACAUAUGUAUGUAUGUAUACACCCAGAGAGAUUGAUUGCAAUUGCAAUCUCCAAGUUUGAAAAGAGUCAACUUACUGUUCUGAGACAGUGGUUCUCAAAGUGUGGUCCAAAGAAUCCUGGGAUCUCUGAAACCCUUUCAGAGGGGCCUACAAAUUCAAAAUUAGUUUUUAUUUCCAAUGUGGUAAAUAUAUAAAUACAAUCCAUAUAAACAAAAACUCUUUGGACAGUUCCUCAGUUUUUAGUAGUAUAAAGGAUACCAAGAACAAAAAUUUAAGAACCAUUAUUCUAAGGUAAUGAAUUUCUUGAUUACUAUUCAGCAUCAUGACUUGCAAAUUCAUUAUUUAUUUUCUUCAAAUUUUAGGUAUCCCUAGUAUAUAAGGUCUCAAGUUUCUUUUUUAAAUGGAAGUAUAUAUUGAUAUAAAGAAAAUAGAUUACUUUAGGGCAUAGAGGUAGAAGAGAGUUUAGAAUGCUGUGCAGCAAAGUACUCCUCUGUUUGAUCACCCCACAGUUGCUGCAGAUAAAGCAAGUGGUAGCCAACUGUUCAACACUCAUAACUGAGUUAGGAGGAAGAUUAUUAUAUCUUGGAUCAACCUGACCCAUAGUGAGUCAAAGGGACCAAUAAAGUCAUGUUGAGGAACUAGGUAAUUUCUUCCCUCAAGUAGUGAGUAAGGGGCGUGUGUGUGUGUGUGUGUGUGUGUGUGUGUGUGUGUGUGUGAGAGAGAGAAGGAUCUUGGCUCAUGCUAUUCUGGAAUCCAUUCACAAUAAGGAAUCAAUAAUAAAAGAUGUGGACAAAUCUAACGUGGAGUUCCCAUUUUAUGUUUUGUUGCCUUGCAUUUCCUUCCUGUCUGUCCAUGAUGCCUGUUACAGACACAAAAUAGAAUGUAAAUCAAACACAUUACUUUUCCUUGGUACAAAAUUCUUUGAGAUAAUGUUCAGUUUCUAAGUACAUAUCACAAAUGAUCUUUCAAAAUUAUUUGAAAGAACCUUAAACUGGAGUCUAAAGACCUCAGUUCUAAUGUUGGCACUGUCACCGACUUACAAGGUGACAUAAGGCAAGUUAUCUUUUCUCUCUGGGUCUUUGUUUAAAUGAGAAUGUGAUAUCAAUCUCAAAAGGAGUCCCAUUCUCUUUUUAAUUUUUUAUCAUAGGAAGUGUCAGAAGCCAAACACUGGAAUUUGAAGGAAGGGGUUUAUUAGAGGGGAAAUAGAUGUACGUAGACAUCACAACUGGCUAGAAUAAAUUGCUUUGACUCUAGUUUGCUUCUUUUUUUGAAAACUCUUAAAAGUAUUGAGUAGCAGUUCUGCUAUGUUUGGAAAGGAUCAAGUUGAAGACAAAAGGUAGUUUGGGGAUCUGGUGGGGACCACUUGCUAAGUGUUUUUGAAAUGGAGUUUUAGAUAGAAUUUUGCAGAAGAAAAAUCAAACCUUCAUUUUCUCUAAAUCUUUGCCUGAACUAUCUAUUUUCUCCAAUCAUAGACAGUAUCUACUUAUUGGUAUCUGAAUAGCCAAGGUGUAAAACAUUUGAUAGCCCAUGUUGCUUAACUUUGUUACUGAUGAACAUAAAAACUUAAGUUGUGAAUAAUGACUCAGGGUGAUUAACAGAUAUUUUGGUACUUAUAGUCAAACUCUGCUUUAUGCCUUUUUGCUUUGGGGUAUAUAAGUUGUGAAUUUGUAAUGUUAUGUUAGAAUGUUUCAUGUUUAGCAAACCUUGAUUGUCUCCAAAUUUACUUCCAAAUAUGGCAACACUCAAAGACUGUAACAUCAAUAAUGACAUGUUCACUUUUUAGAUUUUUGUUGAGCUAAUAAGGUUUCACACCUGGAAGAUGUUAUUUUAACUGGCUGUUUGGGGGAUUCCAUAUAGAAUAAGCAAGUUAUUAGAUGAAAAUUUUAAAAAUAAAAUUUCCCCAAAGGUAGAUUUUGAGAAAUGAUUAGAUGAUCUCUGAAGUUUCAUCCAGCUAUAAAAUUCUAUCUUGUAUAUUUACUCAUGAAUUUACCACAGGAAUUGAUCAUAAAAAAAAAAAAAAAAAAAAAAAAAAAAAAAACUAGCCAUAUGGCAUACAAGUCUGGGAGUUUGGGGGUUGGGGAGAUUUUUGUAGGAAAGCAGUAAUAGCAAAUGAACCAUUGUGUUCUAGUAUAACAGAUGUGAUGAUUCAGAAUGGACCCUCAUCUGCAUAUUUUUGUAUUGAAACUUAGCCAUGACAUCUACGAAUAUGUGCAGUCUACAUCUGCAGAAGAAAAAUCAUCUAAUUCAUAGCGUAUAACAUUAAUCUUUUAGUCCAGAGAUUCUUAACAUUUUUUUCUGUUAUGAAUCCCCUUGUCAGUCUCAUUAAACAUUUGGGCUUCUUAUCAGAAGACGUUUUUAAGUGUGUAAAAUAAAUAGGAUUAAAAAGGCAACCAAUUGUUAAAAUAGUUAUUAAAAUGUUGAAAAAUAAAAUAUAGCCCCUUGAAAAUAUAUCCUAGGAUAUCUAAAUCCUACAAUGCUUUUUGGAAACAAAGUCCAGUCUAAGAAAACCAUGUUGUCACACAUUGGGACCUUUAGAUAGUCCCACUUGGGAAACGUAUAGGCUGCUGAUCUGUAGAUAAGAGCUUUUAGUCUCUAACCCUUUUAAUCACCCUGAUGAUUAAAUAAAAAUCUAUUUUUCAAAAA
rnacentral:lncRNA from 1 species